rnacentral:rRNA from 1 species
GAUGAACGCUAGCGGCAGGCUUAACACAUGCAAGUCGAGGGGUAUGCUUCUUCGGAAGCAGAGACCGGCGCACGGGUGCGUAACGCGUAUACAAUCUACCUUUUACAGAGGGAUAGCCCAGAGAAAUUUGGAUUAAUACCUCAUAGUGUUAUAGAAUGGCAUCAUUUUAUAAUUAAAGUCACAACGGUAAAGAUGAGCAUGCGUCCCAUUAGCUAGUUGGUAAGGAACGGCUUACCAAGGCUACGAUGGGUAGGGGUCCUGAGAGGGAGAUCCCCACAC